rnacentral:sRNA from 1 species
GGUUGUGUAUUUAUUGAGGCUCUCACUUUGCAAUCCGCAGGACGACAAAUUUAACCAAAGAGAUACGGCAUAGUCCAGCGCAAAACAUAUCGUAUUGGAAUGGCAGGGUAAGAUGGAUUAUGGGCGAAGAACCGUUCAAAAUUCAAGAAACUAUGUCAUUAAAGCGAGACAUGAAAAAUUUGGAAAGACCAAAGGAAUGGCAGUGAACAUGCUGCUUUGGCUAACAAGAAAAGGGGCAAUGAGGGGCCUUAGAUCCCGCAAUCAAGAAAAAAUAACUUAAACACUAAACGAGUGACUAACAGAAGCGAAUAUUCAGCGUAUAUAAAUAAAAGUAUC